GACGUAGGAGGCGAGCGUUGUCCGGAUUCAUUGGGCGUAAAGAGCACGCAGGCGGUUUGGCAAGUCGGACGUGAAAAUCCGGGGCUCAACCCCGGACCUGCAUCCGAAACUGCCCGACUAGAGGUAGGUAGGGGAGAUCGGAAUUCCUGGUGUAGCGGUGAAAUGCGCAGAUAUCAGGAGGAACACCGGUGGCGAAGGCGGAUCUCUGGACCUUACCUGACGCUCAGGUGCGAAAGCUAGGGGAGCGAACAGG
rnacentral:rRNA from 1 species